rnacentral:tRNA from 1 species
GAGCAGUGGCUGAGUGGUAGAGUAUCUGCUUUACAUGCAGAAGGUCCCGGGUUCAAUUCCCACCCGCACCC